GGCAUUAGCUCGUAGUGACCUGCGGAGGAUCAUUACCGAGUGCGGGCCCUCGCGGCCCAACCUCCCACCCUUGUCUCUAUACACCUGUUGCUUUGGCGGGCCCACCGGGGCCACCUGGUCGCCGGGGGACGCACGUCCCCGGGCCCGCGCCCGCCGAAGCGCUCUGUGAACCCUGAUGAAGAUGGGCUGUCUGAGUACUAUGAAAAUUGUCAAAACUUUCAACAAUGGAUCUCUUGGUUCCGGCAUCGAUGAAGAACGCAGCGAAAUGCGAUAAGUAAUGUGAAUUGCAGAAUUCCGUGAAUCAUCGAAUCUUUGAACGCACAUUGCGCCCCCUGGCAUUCCGGGGGGCAUGCCUGUCCGAGCGUCAUUUCUGCCCUCAAGCACGGCUUGUGUGUUGGGUGUGGUCCCCCCGGGGACCUGCCCGAAAGGCAGCGGCGACGUCCGUCUGGUCCUCGAGCGUAUGGGGCUCUGUCACUCGCUCGGGAAGGAGCGGCGGGGGUUGGUCACCACCAUGUUUUUACCACGGUUGACCUCGGAUCAGGUAGGAGUUACCCUCUUAACUUAAGCAUAUGAAUAAGCGAAGGAAGUG
rnacentral:rRNA from 1 species